AAAAAUAAAAUAUAAAAUAGCAAUAUCUUUAGCAUUUGUAGAAAAUAAUCAUCUCUGUAAAUACAUAGUUUUAUUUAUUAUUUUAUUAAUUAAAAUAAUAAAGUUAUUUAUUAAUAAUUUUAUAUUAAUAUUUUGAUUAAUCAUUAUUUAAUUUUAAUUUAAUUAUUUAUA
rnacentral:tRNA from 1 species